rnacentral:tRNA from 1 species
AACAAAGAAGUAAAAUUUACAUUUAGUUUCGACCUAGAAAUAAGGAUUUUUUCCUCAUGUUU